UAACACAUUCAACAGUAGGAUCAUUUCUAUAGGAAUCGUCACUCUUUGACUCUUCAAAAGAGCCACUGAAUCCAACUUGGUUGAUGAGCCCAUAACCUUUGUACCCUAGAGUGAGAAAUUGAAAUUAAUCUAAAUUAGCUUGGUCCGCAAUCCUUAGCGGUUCGGCCAUCUAUAAUUUUUAACAAAUUUUGCUUUGCCGUUGCAUUUGUAAUUUCUUCCUUUGGAAGCUUUUACGAUCUUUAAUGGCGCGAUGAUCUUGACCCAUCCUAUGUACUUCCUUUUUGGAAGGGAUAGGGCUUCAUGGGUGGGUACAAAUGGCAGUCUGACAAGU
rnacentral:snoRNA from 19 species